rnacentral:rRNA from 1 species
AGAGCGAACGCUGGCGGCAGGCCUAACACAUGCAAGUCGAGCGCUCGUAGCAAUACGAGAGCGGCAGACGGGAGAGUAACACGUGGGAACGUACCCUUCAGUUCGGAACAACCAAGGGAAACUUUGGCUAAUACCGGAUACGUCCGUAAGGAGAAAGAUUUAUCGCUGAAGGAUCGGCCCGCGUCUGAUUAGCUAGUUGGUGAGGUAAUGGCUCACCAAGGCGACGAUCAGUAGCUGGUCUGAGAGGAUGAUCAGCCUCACUGGGACUGAGACACGGCCCAGACUCCUACGGGAGGCAGCAGUGGGGAAUAUUGGACAAUGGGCGCAAGCCUGAUCCAGCCAUGCCGCGUGGGUGAUGAAGGCCCUAGGGUUGUAAAGCCCUUUCGGCGGGAAGAUAAUGACGGUACCCGCAGAAGAAGCCCGGCUAACUUCGUGCCAGCAGCCGC